rnacentral:rRNA from 1 species
GACGAACGCUGGCGGCGUGCCUAAUACAUGCAAGUAGAACGCUGAAGCGAGGAGCUUGCUCUUCUUGGAUGAGUUGCGAACGGGUGAGUAACGCGUAGGUAACCUGCCUGGUAGCGGGGGAUAACUAUUGGAAACGAUAGCUAAUACCGCAUAAAAUUGAUUAUUGCAUGAUAAUUAAUUGAAAGAUGCAACUGCAUCACUACCAGAUGGACCUGCGUUGUAUUAGCUAGUUGGUGAGGUAACGGCUCACCAAGGCGACGAUACAUGGCCGACCUGAGAGGGUGAUCGGCCACACUGGGACUGAGACACGGCCCAGACUCCUACGGGAGGCAGCAGUAGGGAAUCUUCGGCAAUGGGGGGAACCCUGACCGAGCAACGCCGCGUGAGUGAAGAAGGUUUUCGGAUCGUAAAGCUCUGUUGUAAGAGAAGAACGGGUGUGAGAGUGGAAAGUUCACACUGUGACGGUAUCUUACCAGAAAGGGACGGCUAACUACGUG